rnacentral:rRNA from 1 species
GACGAACGCUGGCGGCGUGCUUAACACAUGCAAGUCGAACGGACAGGCCCUGCUUUUGUGGGGUGCUCGAGUGGCGAACGGGUGAGUAACACGUGAGUAACCUGCCCUUGACUUUGGGAUAACUUCAGGAAACUGGGGCUACUACCGGAUAGGAGCUCCUGCUGCAUGGUGGGGGUUGGAAAGUUUCGGCGGUUGGGGAUGGACUCGCGGCUUAUCCGCUUGUUGGUGGGGUAGUGGCUUACCAAGGCUUUGACGGGUAGCCGGCCUGAGAGGGUGACCGGCGACAUUGGGACUGAGAUACGGCCCAGACUCCUACGGGAGGCAGCAGUGGGGAAUAUUGCACAAUGGGCGGAAGCCUGAUGCAGCAACGCCGCGUGCGGGAUGACGGCCUUCGGGUUGUAAACCGCUUUCGCCGGUGACGAAGCGUGAGUGACGGUAAUGGGUAAAGAAGCACCGGCUAACUACGUG